rnacentral:rRNA from 1 species
UACGGAGGGUGCGAGCGUUGUCCGGAAUCACUGGGCGUAAAGGGCGCGUAGGCGGCGCGAGCAGUCAACGGUGAAAGCCCGGGGCUCAACCCCGGGUCGGCCGUCGAUACUCUCGUGCUCGAGCACUGUAGAGGCAGGUGGAAUUCCGGGUGUAGCGGUGGAAUGCGUAGAGAUCCGGAAGAACACCGGUGGCGAAGGCGGCCUGCUGGGCAGUAGCUGACGCUGAUGCGCGACAGCGUGGGGAGCAAACAGG